GAUGAACGCUAGCUACAGGCUUAACACAUGCAAGUCGCGGGGCAGCAUGGGGGUUGCUUGCAAUCCCCGAUGGCGACCGGCGCACGGGUGAGUAACGCGUAUCCAACCUGCCCUUCACCACGGGAUAACCCGGCGAAAGUCGGACUAAUACCGUAUGUUGUCCAUUGACGGCAUCCGAUUUGGACGAAAGGUUUGGCGGUGAAGGAUGGGGAUGCGUCCGAUUAGCUGGACGGCGGGGUGACGGCCCACCGUGGCGACGAUCGGUAGGGGUUCUGAGAGGUAGGUCCCCCACACUGGAACUGAGACACGGUCCAGACUCCUACGGGAGGCAGCAGUGAGGAAUAUUGGUCAAUGGGCGUAAGCCUGAACCAGCCAAGUAGCGUGCAGGAUGACGGCCCUAUGGGUUGUAAACUGCUUUUAUGCGGGGAUAAAGUGGCCCACGUGUGGGUUUUUGCAGGUACCGCAUGAAUAAGGACCGGCUAAUUCCGUG
rnacentral:rRNA from 1 species